CGGGUAGAGAAAUAGUCCCAAUAUCAUAACAAUCUUAAAUAAAACUUCUAAAUAUGCCCGUGUGUGUACCCGUGUGCGCGCGCGCGUGUGUAUGUACAGUAUGUGCGUGAGUUUUUAAUUUCAAAUGUCUUAACUUAACUCGGAAGGAUCUGAAUGACAGGUCAUUUCAUCUGAGAUCAUUCCGCAUGUAACAGCCGGAAUCACUCACUGUUUCCCACAACGACACGAGUCAUCAGCCGUUUCCUCAAGGUCACGUCAGGUAAGUGUUUGUAAAUAAAUGUUAAUUUUAGACUAUAUUAAUUGGCAAAGACGCAAAUACUCGACGUUUUUGUAAACAUAUAAGUUAUAUAAAGGUGUGUUAUGUUAUGUGACCGACUUAAAGUGUGUGUUACGUUAUGUGUCCGAGUUAAAGUGGAGCUAUUUUAGUUAAGAUAAUACCGGACAGGGUUUAGGACUCCGUCUUAAUUAUAAUUGGGACAUUUUUACAAACAAACCUUAUAAAAUACAAUACUAGUGUGCAUUUUGAGACAAAACAAUAGCACUCAUAUGUUAACAGAUGUCAGUAUUUUAGUCAGUGAUAAGUCCUGUCCGAGAAAACCGCCCAAUAGUGUUUAAUUCAAUUACGUGUGAUGUCUGAGGGAAACUUGGCAAUUUUAGGGUAUAAAAUCUUUCACCGUCAAGCUUUAUUAUAUUAAACAUGUUAUUUAUGUAUGUGUGUGUGUUUAUAUUCCUCUGUUUAUUAAACCAGAGGGGUGGUGAUGUGGAGAGGCAGACCAGACCACCACCAUACGCGAAGAUGAGCCUCGAGGCGUGACAGUUAUUUUUUCAAACUGAGGAGUUCGGACUCCGGACUGUCAUUUCUGCUUGUUUGUACCCUGAGAUAACCAUGGUUAAUAAAUGGUCAGACACGUCACUGGCUUUAAAAUAUAAACCCCAUUGAUGCAAAAAGAUGCUGCAUGGAAUGACAAUGUGGUUUGGAACAGACUUGGUGAAGAACAUGGAAACAUCUCUUAAUAAAAUGGCCCCAAACAUCAUCAGGAGUGCAAAAGAAGCAAGUAAAAACAUCUCGUCGCCAAUCUCAUUGGAGAGGAAACCACAGAAGGUCUGGUGAGGAAUGCUGCACUUAUGUUAUUGCAAGCAUUAUUUCAAGAAAAUCCCAGCUUCCUUUACUGUGUAAAUAGUGAACCCAAAGGUCCCACACCAACCAUAGUGUUCAACGGCUCUCCUGAUCUUUUCAAAUCUGAAUGUAUCAACUUUAUAAUGGACAAUGUGAACUUAAUAUGUGGAAGACAUUGACAUCACAGGCUGUGGAAUGACUGUGUCACAGGUCGGAGAAGCGGACCGCCCCUGUCGCGGAUCACGCUCCUCCUAGUUCCACCUCGAGGAGGUCCCAAAGCAUCCCAAUGACCAGACAAACCAGAGGGGGAGUAUUACGGGGCCAGGGACGUUGGAGGGGUUUCCACGUGACUCCAGCUGGAACACCGCUACAGAGCGUAUCUGGGUGGGCUGGGCACACACCGUCGCGGCGGCCCUGAUGGCAUCCACAAGGGUCCAAGAACCUCCUAAGCUCCUAGCCGUAGCAGAACUACGUAUUUCAGCACCCGAAGGACUAACAACCCAGCCGGCAUCUGCAGCGUAUAUCCAACGCGAUCAAACUUCACUCUGACAAGUAACUUCCUAUACACAACCAUGCCGUCCUUUCGCCCGGACCAGCCCCGCACUCUUUCCGCCCACUACCUAGCGGUUGCCGGAUCAGCAGAGCCUGCGGACUCUUCGGAGGCUGGUCUUCGUUGUGAUGCCCAAGGCGGAAGUUGACUCGCCCAAAAAUCGACCCUUCCAGUAACUUCUACCUUCUCUCUUUAUAUCCUCCUCCCAGGCGUGGCUCGCCCAACCAUCGCUCGCCACGUCACUCACACAGCUGUGCCUUGUUUCAGCGAGUGCGGGGAUUCCCGGGGAACCCUGAGGUGCCGGUGUCUGUACAAACCGGUCCGGGCGGAACCUCUUCACUCUCCUUUUGGUUCCGCCCCACAUAGUCACUCCGUGACAACUGUUUGCGUUUUUUUUUCUCCUCAAUGUUCAAUACCCUUUUGCCAUUAAGCACACAGUGACUUUAAUUUAUAAAAUAUAUGCUUAAGUUUUAAUACCUGUACAAAACAAAUGUACAAUCAACUUGUGUAAAUUGUCAUUCUAUUUAAUAGAUUGUUCAUGAAUUGUCUUUAAAUGCAUUGUGAUUUCGGUAACACUUUACAAUAAAGUUCAUUAGUUAACAUUAGUUAAUGUAUUAACUAACUUGAACAAACCAUAAGCAAUACAUUUGUUACAGUAUUUAUUCAUCUUUGUUAAUGUUAGUUGAUAAAAAUUUAAGCUUUAAUUGCUUGUUCAUGUUAGUUCAGAGUGCAUUAACUAAUGUUAACAAGAUUUUAAUAAAGUAAUUGUUGAAAUUAACAUUAACAAAGAUUAAUAAAGGCUGUAUAAGUGCAGUUCAUUAUUAGUUCAUGUUAACUAAUGUAGCUAACUAAUGUUAACUAAUGAACCUUAUUGUAAAGUGUUACCGUGAUUUCUUUUCAUCAUUUCAGACACAUGUAAAAGUUACUAAAAAUUAAUACUGCAUAUACUGUACAGUAUCUAUGCGUAAGGGAAAUAACUUAAACAAAAUUUUUAAUGUAUAGUGUAAUUAAGAGUUUAGCUGUUUAAUACAGAGAUGCAAUUUAUUUAUAUAUAUUAUUUAUAUAUAAACGUAUGUAUGUUUAUUAAAAAGUGAAAAUGCUUAAUGGAAAUAAUUAAAUAACUAAAUGGUUGAA